AUACAUCUUAAAGGUGGGAUGAGUGAGUUGUGUAAUAAGAACGGAAAAGAAGCUACGAGCUGGAAAUACAUGGAAAAGAAGGCCCUUUCAAAGUUGGGUUUGACAUCUGGAGUGAGGAAGGUGUACACUAUGGUUGAGAAGUUUAAACAGAGCAGGUUAUCCACUGAUUCUGCCCAAGCCAAAAACAAUAAAAACUUGAGGAAACGAAGAUCAACCGCGACC
rnacentral:misc_RNA from 1 species